AUGAAGUCGCAUGCAAAGGAGCUGAUGGAGGGGAUACCAGGUGAGAUUCGCUUCCAUCAGAAGGGGAGAGUGGCAGACGAAAGAGGCAACAUCGACAAUCAGGAGGUACUGCCAUACAUUAGGAGAUCUUCUCCAAAGGAAGUGGUCCCGUCCAUAGUAGGAUUUGUGGAUUUGAGUAUUAAUGUUUUGGAAAGAAAUGUUGCUGACCAGAUUCCUAGAGAGAUUUUCUCAUUGGGAAUUAUAAAAAAGGAAGAGGGAAAUCAGGGGACGGCUUUUAUCUGCACAUUUAGGGAGAAGAGAGAAAUUUAG
rnacentral:rRNA from 1 species